rnacentral:piRNA from 1 species
UCUCUUGAAUGUUCUGUCCUGCCUUGAC